GACGAACGCUGGCGGCAUGCUUAACACAUGCAAGUCGAACGAACAGGGGGGUACGGUGCCCGAUUCUCGUUGCCCACGGGUGGGUAACACACAGGAAGAUGCCCUUUAGUACGGAAUAAGCAAAGUAAGGGUAGCCGAAUCCAAUAUCGGCCAUUCUGUGGAACCGUUUGGUUCAAUAGUGUAAGACGGCUUUUUUAUCGCUAUAGGAUGGGUGAGCGCCGCAUUAGCUAGUUGGUAAGGUAACGGCAUACCAAGGCGACGAUCCGUAGCCGACCUGAGAGGAUGAGCAGCGACACUGGGACUGAGACACAGCCGAGAAUCCUACGGGAGGCAGCAGUGGGGGAUAGUGCACAAUGGGGGGAACCCUGAUCCAGCCAUGCCGGGUGAGUGAAGAAGGCCUUCGGGUUGUAAUGCGCUUUCGACGGGGCCGAUGAUGACGGUACCCGUACAAGAAGCCCCGGCUAACUUCGUG
rnacentral:rRNA from 1 species